UUUUGCGCAAUGGGGGCAACCCUGACGCAGCAACGCCGCGUGAGUGAAGAAGGCCUUUGGGUCGUAAAGCUCUGUCAACCGGGAAGAAGUUAUGCAGAAUGAAUAGUGAUGCAUAUUGACGGUACCGGUGGAGGAAGCGCCGGCUAACUCCGUGCCAGCAGCCGCGGUAACACGGGGGGCGCAAGCGUUAUUCGGAAUUAUUGGGCGUAAAGGGCGCGUAGGCGGUUCUGUCGGUCAGAUGUGAAAGCCCGGGGCUCAACCCUGGAAGUGCAUUUGAAACAGCAGAACUUGAGUACGGGAGAGGAAAGCGGAAUUCCUGGUGUAGAGGUGAAAUUCGUAGAUAUCAGGAGGAACACCGAUGGCGAAGGCAGCUUUCUGGACCGAUACUGACGCUGAGGCGCGAAGGCGUGGGUAGCGAACGGGAUUAGAUACCCCGGUAGUCCACGCAGUAAACGAUGUUCACUAGGUGUAGCGGAUAUUAAAAUUUGCUGUGCCGCAGUCAACGCAUUAAGUGAACCGCCUGGGAAGUACGGUCGCAAGACUAAAA
rnacentral:rRNA from 1 species